rnacentral:tRNA from 1 species
GGUGCCUUAGUCAAGUGGUAAGGCUUGGAGCUGCAACCUCCACAUCGUCAGUUCGAUUCUGACAGGCACCU